CAUGGCUCAGGAUGAACGCUAGCUACAGGCUUAACACAUGCAAGUCGAGGGGCAGCAUUUCAGUUUGCUUGCAAACUGGAGAUGGCGACCGGCGCACGGGUGAGUAACACGUAUCCAACCUGCCGAUAACUCGGGGAUAGCCUUUCGAAAGAAAGAUUAAUACCCGAUGGUAUAAUCAGACCGCAUGGUCUUGUUAUUAAAGAAUUUCGGUUAUCGAUGGGGAUGCGUUCCAUUAGGCAGUUGGUGAGGUAACGGCUCACCAAACCUUCGAUGGAUAGGGGUUCUGAGAGGAAGGUCCCCCACAUUGGAACUGAGACACGGUCCAAACUCCUACGGGAGGCAGCAGUGAGGAAUAUUGGUCAAUGGGCGCAGGCCUGAACCAGCCAAGUAGCGUGAAGGAUGACUGCCCUAUGGGUUGUAAACUUCUUUUAUAUGGGAAUAAAGUUUUCCACGUGUGGAAUUUUGUAUGUACCAUAUGAAUAAGGAUCGGCUAACUCCGUGCCAGCAGCCGCGGUAAUACGGAGGAUCCGAGCGUUAUCCGGAUUUAUUGGGUUUAAAGGGAGCGUAGGUGGACAGUUAAGUCAGUUGUGAAAGUUUGCGGCUCAACCGUAAAAUUGCAGUUGAUACUGGCUGUCUUGAGUACAGUAGAGGUGGGCGGAAUUCGUGGUGUAGCGGUGAAAUGCUUAGAUAUCACGAAGAACUCCGAUUGCGAAGGCAGCUCACUGGACUGCAACUGACACUGAUGCUCGAAAGUGUGGGUAUCAAACAGGAUUAGAUACCCUGGUAGUCCACACAGUAAACGAUGAAUACUCGCUGUUUGCGAUAUACAGUAAGCGGCCAAGCGAAAGCAUUAAGUAUUCCACCUGGGGAGUACGCCGGCAACGGUGAAACUCAAAGGAAUUGACGGGGGCCCGCACAAGCGGAGGAACAUGUGGUUUAAUUCGAUGAUACGCGAGGAACCUUACCCGGGCUUAAAUUGCAUUUGAAUAAUCUGGAAACAGGUUAGCCGCAAGGCAAAUGUGAAGGUGCUGCAUGGUUGUCGUCAGCUCGUGCCGUGAGGUGUCGGCUUAAGUGCCAUAACGAGCGCAACCCUUAUCUUUAGUUACUAACAGGUCAUGCUGAGGACUCUAGAGAGACUGCCGUCGUAAGAUGUGAGGAAGGUGGGGAUGACGUCAAAUCAGCACGGCCCUUACGUCCGGGGCUACACACGUGUUACAAUGGGGGGUACAGAAGGCAGCUACCUGGUGACAGGAUGCUAAUCCCAAAAGCCUCUCUCAGUUCGGAUCGAAGUCUGCAACCCGACUUCGUGAAGCUGGAUUCGCUAGUAAUCGCGCAUCAGCCAUGGCGCGGUGAAUACGUUCCCGGGCCUUGUACACACCGCCCGUCAAGCCAUGAAAGCCGGGGGUACCUGAAGUACGUAACCGCAAGGAGCGUCCUAGGGUAAAACUGGU
rnacentral:rRNA from 1 species